GGCAGCAACAGCAACAGCAGCGACGGCCGGCGGCGGCGGCGGCAAACAGACAGUCACCUCACCGCGUCCAUGGGAGCGGACGAGCGGCGGCCGAGGCCGGGGCCGAGCGGGAAUAAGAUGGCGCUGGCGCUGCUGCUGAUGAUCGCGCUGCAGCUUCCCCAGGUCCUGGCUGAGUAUGGGAUGGUCAACGUGCUGUCGGAUAAAGAGCAUGGAAGUGCAAAAGAUUACUGUAUCCAGUUCAACCCCUCCUGGGCAUAUUUACCUCAUGAUCUCAGUAAAGCAUCUCUCUUGCAGGUCCAAGAUUUGACAUCUUCCAUGCUGUGCACACCAUCAGAUGUGCCGCUGCAAGGGUUUAACUACAGAAUUGCGAUGGUGAUGCGUGGGAACUGUACAUUCUAUGAUAAAGUGCGACUUGCACAAAUCAACGGAGCCAAGGGUCUGAUCAUCGUCAGCAGAGAGAGCCUGGUGCCCCCGGGUGGAAAUGGGAGUCAGUACGAGGAGAUUGAUAUCCCAGUUGCUCUCCUCAGUUACGAUGACAUGCUUGAUAUAUCAAAGACGUUUGGGAAAGCAAUCAAAGUGGCGAUGUACGCCCCAAAUGAACCGUUCCUGGACUAUAACAUGGUGGUUAUCUUUGUAAUGGCAGUCGGUACAGUAGCAAUCGGUGGCUACUGGGCAGGAAGCAAAGAUGUGAAGAAGCGAUACAUGAAGCAUAAGCACGAUGGAGUGGACAAACAAGAUGAUGAGACUAUUGAUGUGACGCCAAUUAUGAUCUGUAUUUUUGUGGUGAUGUGCUGCUCAAUGCUAGUUCUCCUCUACUACUUUUACAAUCAGCUAGUGUACGCAAUUAUAGGAAUUUUCUGCCUUGCUUCUUCCAUUGGACUUUACAGCUGCCUGGCCCCAUUUGUUCAGAAAAUUCCUUUCUGUGAAUGCAGGAUUCCAGAGCUGCCGUGUACUCACAAACGACCCCAAGUGCGGAUGUUGCUCCUGGGCAUGUUCUGUGCCUCUGUGAGUUGUGUGUGGGCUGUGUUCAGAAAUGAGGAUAAGUGGGCAUGGAUUUUACAAGACACUCUAGGAAUUGCAUUUUGCCUUUACAUGUUGAAAACAAUCAGACUGCCAACAUUCAAGGCUUGCACAUUACUGCUGGUGGUUCUCUUUGUGUACGAUAUUUUCUUUGUUUUCAUAACUCCGUUUCUCACUCGGAGUGGGGAGAGCAUCAUGGUGGAAGUGGCUGCUGGACCUUCUGAUUUCUCCACUCAUGAGAAGCUCCCAAUGGUAUUGAAGGUGCCUCGGUUGAAUUCCUCGCCUCUGGCACUGUGUGACAGACCCUUCUCCCUCCUUGGCUUUGGUGAUGUCUUAAUACCAGGAAUGCUGGUGGCAUACUGCCACCGGUUUGAUAUUCAGGUGCAGGCCUCAAGAAUCUACUUCGUAGCGUGCACAGUCGCAUAUGGCGUUGGUCUUCUCAUCACUUUUGUUGCUCUGGCACUAAUGCAGACCGGCCAGCCAGCUCUCCUCUACCUGGUCCCAUGCACUCUGAUCACCAGCAUCUGCGUUGCCUGCUGGCGUAAGGAGGUGGCAAAGUUCUGGAAUGGAAAUGGAUUUGCGGUGAAUACCAGUUUGAUAUGAGUGCCUAGAAGAAUUAUAUUGCCCCCUCCCCAAAUGUAAUAAUAAAGACCAGUUCACAAGACGUCGCUACAUAUGUUGCUUCACCACCUCCAACUGCUCCGAAACAGGGACAGCUGGGAUUAUUGGAUACUGACAACAGUUCACAGACCUGUGACAACUCAUCUCCGACUGCCAGCCACCAUGAAGAGAAAGCCCUGAACACUCCAGCUGGAGGAGCCACUGAUGAAAACGAAGCUGAACCCAGUGAGAACUUUCUGCUGAAAGACAGGACGGGUCAAUGAUAGCGCGGACAAUGUACUUACAACGCAAUUUUUAAAACAUGCUUAAUAUAGUGGGUUUAUAUACAACGAGGUAGAUCGGUAUUGCAGAUGUUAGCUGAAGCGAAUGAUAGAAUGCCUGGUGGGUGGACCUUUAACGGUUACGUUCUCCUCCCAAAUGAUCAUGGGCAGUUGUACUGCCCCAAACAGACCCCACGGCCGGCUGAACAGUGGCCCUACUCAAGCUGCUUGCUUUCUCAAAGCUGACACUACCAAGUACAGAACACCUCGACCUACCUCCCCAAUUCUGAACCUAACCAAACGUUCAUUGUUAAAAAAAUGACUGGUCAGAAAAAAAAAAUAUUGUCAUUGCCACAUCUCCUGAUCCCCUAAUGCCCCUGUCCCACUUAGGAAACCUGAACGGAAACCCCUGGAGACUUUGCGCCCCACC